rnacentral:rRNA from 1 species
GAUGAACGCUGGCGGCGUGCCUAAUACAUGCAAGUCGAGCGAACGGACGAGAAGCUUGCUUCUCUGAUGUUAGCGGCGGACGGGUGAGUAACACGUGGAUAACCUACCUAUAAGACUGGGAUAACUUCGGGAAACCGGAGCUAAUACCGGAUAAUAUUUUGAACCUCAUGGUUCAUAGGUGAAAGACGGUCUUGCUGCCACUUAUAGAUGGAUCCGCGCUGCAUUAGCUAGUUGGUAAGGUAACGGCUUACCAAGGCAACGAUGCAUAGCCGACCUGAGAGGGUGAUCGGCCACACUGGAACUGAGACACGGUCCAGACUCCUACGGGAGGCAGCAGUAGGGAAUCUUCCGCAAUGGGCGAAAGCCUGACGGAGCAACGCCGCGUGAGUGAUGAAGGUCUUCGGAUCGUAAAACUCUGUUAUUAGGGAAGAACAUAUGUGUAAGAAAAUGUGCACAUCUUGACGGUACCUAAUCAGAAAGCCACGGCUAACUACGUG